rnacentral:lncRNA from 1 species
AAGAGAUUUGGGUAGAGUUUUGUGAUGCAAAGGAGUAAAUGGUUGCUGUAAACCCAGUAGCAGUGUACAAGGAGGUUAUGACUACAGACACAGCUUUUUUCAUCUCUGCGUGACAAGCUGCCACCUGCUUCUGCAUAGCAUUAAAGGCAGAGGAAUAAGCUCUCUUUUUUGCAUCUCGGGAAGACGCUGUGUGGAAACCACUGGCCAACUGUUUGUUUGUUGCACAAAAUAACGAAUAAAGCAUGGUUUGAUUCUCUUGAGACAGAGAAGGUUCAACCAUUUACAAUCAAUUUCCAUCUCCUGGAACUAAUGUUAUUUAACUCAGUUUUGACCCCCCCACACCUUUUAAAAAAAAUAUUGUAGACUAGAGUGGUUGGAACGGGCCUGCAUAAGCUGCACCAUCAGCCAGACACUUCUUUCUUAGACUAUAGUAAUAAUUACAUGUUCACCUCUGUUUUAUCACUGAAGUUAUGCACAAAUAAAUAUUGCCUGCUAGAUAUCCUUCAGCUGAAAAUGCAGUUUCUUAAGGCCUGGGCAAUAUUUUUCAUGUGUUAAUUCUACAUAAUAAAUAUGAAACAUUAAUGAUAUCAAUAGUUCACCUGUUGGGCAUUUGAAAAGACACCACUAUUCUUAAUGGUUUCCUUUUCUACAUUCCCAACCCCUACUUACUGAGUUAUAAAAUGCUAUAGCACAUUAUUCUGACCAGAGCAUUUUUGUAUAGGGGUACUUGAGCUUUCUUCAAUGUAGUGUUAGCUUCAGGUAUGGUCAGAGACAAAGAAACAUGCCUAAUGUAAAGUCGCUCUACCAAUAUUUGCAAUCCAUUUGUUACCAUAUUUGAGUCAGACACAUUUUUAAAAAUAAAAUAUUCUCAUAUUGCCACGUCAAAACUGUCCCUGGUUAACACUAUGAAAUAUAUGUUCAUUGCAAAUUUCAUACUAAGAAUUAAAGACUAGGAAAACAUUUUCUGUGUGAUAAUUUUGGGUGGUAUUAAUUUUUGUCAUUUUGUAUAUGCACGAAUGGCAUUUCCCACCAAUCCAGAGAGAGUGCCUUGACAUUUUGCAUAUUGCAGUUAUAGAAAGUCAAUAUUUUCAGAACAGAUAUUAUCUGAUACAAUGUUGGUGCUCUCUUGGCACUAGAUAUAUUCACUUUUAUGGUAAUAUUAUAUCUCAAGAAGAAUAUUGACUCAGAAAAUCACAUCUCCUGAGUAAAGUGCGUCAUAUUUAAUCAAGCUGAAAUCACUGACUCCUGGCUUUCAACAAAUGUAUGAUAUUAGUUCACAUGAGUAAAAUUAUGAAGCGGCCUUUCACUUUCUUUCUGCUUCUAUUCCUGUAAAACAAAAACAACUUUAUACCCUGAAAAUCACCUUAAGUGCAUUGGUGGUGAUUAGGUUCUGCAGUUCUUACCUCUGGAAAUAGUUCACAGUGAUUUUCUUUCACUAUCUCCCCAUCCCCCCAAAAGCAAAAAUACCCCAGAACAUGGAUGCUCUUUUUCUAGAUUGCUGCAGUGCAACCGCUUUGUAGAUACAUUCUCUCCCAAGUGGCCAGAGAUGGGCAGUGUACAAAGCCAAAUCAAGUUAUGCAACAGAAGUGGUGAAAUUAUUUGCCACCUUUUAUAAACAUGCUCCAGUUUGUUUCUGAAGAUGGAGGGGAAAGAUCUGUUUUUCAUAAAGGAGUAAUAUGUGGUUGCUAAUUAUAAAAUAUUUAGAGGAAUUUUUCAUUUGGUUAUAUUUUGCCAUGGCAUUUGAGGUGGGUCUUAUGGAUUACAAGUAUCCACCAUGACAACCUGCAAUCUAUUCUGAACAUUGCAUCCGUAUUAAAAUAAACAAACAAGUGUGUCUCUAAAAUGCCAUUCAGCAAGGUUAUACAAAAGAAUCAAUUGAUUUCCAACCCCCACUGAUCCAUGGACUUUUCCUAAAAGAGAAUAUUUCUGGUGUGCUUUUCCUUAGACUGGGCAAGUAUCCAGUUUUCACUGCAAGCUUUUUCUAGUUGCUGUGCUGUAUUUAAAAUGUAGCUUUGCCAGCUUUCUAAAUACCCAAAGUGGCAAAUUGCAUACUGAAACACCACCAAGCACAACGUAGCAUUUUUUCAAGAUAGAAAAAUGACAGAUUUAAUGCCUCCAUUGUCAAUCACGUUAAUGCCUCUAACACUGUUGCAGAAUGAAUUUCCAAUGAGCACCCAAGCAAAUGUGUGCAGGAAGUGGUUUUGCCUUUGUAACUGUACAUUUCAGCUCCUCUAAUUGCAUCAAUAAGGAAUUUGGUCUCCUCAUUUAAUGAAUGCCUUUUGACUACUUUCUGAAAGGCAACUGACUGUGAGAAGGGAGAAACACUAGCAUCUUUUAUAUGAAACCACAUAAACAGGUUUCAAUUAGUAGUUAUCAACUCUACAAACUAUUGUGUUAGAGCACAGUGCAGUGAAUCUCAUUCUGUUCUACUACCCAUCUUUUAUUCCUCAUGAAAGCUUUUAUUCCUCUUCUGAACUUCAAAUGAUUCCCCUGCCCCUGCCCCCACCCUCAGUAGUUCAGGAUGUUGCUUUAAACCCACUUGCUUCUGAUAAUGCCUUGCAUUCAACAGAAAUCAAGCAUUCGGCCGCAGUUGUUCCUGCACCAUCUAUAAGCCAAAGCAUGUCCUAAAAUGUGUAUGAGCUUACAACACUUGGCUGCCAUGCAUCCUUGAAUCAUGAAGUGAAUUUCAGCAUUUAUUAAAAUGCUUGCACUGUUCUUUUUUUAGCAUUAUUUGUCCACAUAAAAUCAGCACAUAUGCAAACAACUCUGCAUUUAAAAAACAACGCAGCAACACUGCAGAUGUGAUUUAUGAGCUAUGAAAUAAGCUUUCCAUUGAAAUAAUAAUGAUGAUGGAAUAAAAACCAACAAAGCACCUGUACCAACAGGUACUGUGUCGAACCUGAACUCAAACUUCUGAUUUGCAUUCUCUUCACUUUCAGUGGAUUUAUGGAGGAAAGUUUAAAAUGAUAAAAGGAAAGGAGAAGGCCAACAUAUGAUGAGCAUGUGUCAAGAUGUGAUAUAGAAGUGGUUGUGGCAGAAAAGAGAAAUGUAACCUUCAUCUUAAUCACUGAGGUUCAACAAACCCACCUUUUUUAAAAGCUUAUUUUAUUUGAAUCACAAUGGUUCAUACCUCACAUUCCCUGGAGCCUGCUUUGCUAUAUGUGCAGGGUCCCGUCCCGUUCAGCAGCAUCUCACUGGUCUCGGUGUUAGUUGGCUUAUAAUCGACAUAAAAUUCCUGUGUGGUUGGAGUCAUCUGCUUCAGCGACUGCCGUUUCUUCUUCCUGUGCCUUCGCAUGAGAGAGCGCUGCUGCAGCUGCUUCAUGCUGGCAGGGUAUCGCUUCCACGACACAUAGAUUACCAGCAGGAUCACAAGCACAGACAAGAAAAGGGCCACACUCCCUGCUAUGAUUUUGUGGAAAGAGAUGUGUUCUGUGUCGUGCUCAGGCUCUGAGCUGGCUUCUGUGGACCCGACGGUGGGGGGCAGAGGGGGCUUGCUGUCAUGCUUAGGCCUGAUGACUUUGGGUUUAAAGGUUGGCUUUGGGAAAGCCUGUGGCAAUUCAAACCUCUCUGUAGUACUUUUGCCACAUAUGCUGUAAUUUUUCACUGCAUCAAUAACGUUCACCCCCUGCAGCUCUUUGGGGCUGGCACAGAUAAUUGUAUUUUCCCUCAGCCCUUUAAAACUUUUUAGCCAGUUUACCAGGGAGCAAAUGUUCCUGCUGCAUUCCCAUAUAUUCCCAGCAAGGCUGAUGUCAUUGAGAGAUAUCCAAGAAUCCAAAAUCUCUUGACCAAUAAACGUGAGCUUGUUGGAAUCCAGGUUGAGACGCUGUAAAUUGGGCACACACUGGAAAACACUAGGUCCACUGAAAGCUUCUAUUUCAUUGCCAGAUAAAUCAAGCCUUUGUAAUGAGCUCCAGGUCCAGGACAUCGUUUGUCCUAUAACACUGAUUUUAUUCCACUGUAAAUAAAGGUUCUGGAGGCUGACUAGCCUUGGAAAAAGAGCCAAGUUAAGCUUAGAAAAUUGAUUGUGCUCCAGGUGAAGCUCUUUCAGCCUGAUCAUGCCUGCAAAGACAUUCCUUGCUAAGCUUCGGAUUCUGUUGUAGCCCAGGUCUAAGAGUUCGAGGUUCCUACAGUCCUGGAAAAUUCGGACAGGGAUUGUUCUCAGGGAAUUGGACCGCAAAUGUAAACUCAGCAGCUUCCUUAAGCCCCUGAAUUGUUCAGCUCCCAGAGACUGCAGCUGAUUAUAUGACAGAUCCAAGUUCCGGAGAUUUGUUACUGGUCUGAAGGUGUUAUUAAGAAAAUAGGCAAUUCUGUUGGAACUUAAAAUCAACUCUUUUAGCCUGCGUAUUCCAUUGAAAGCAUUUUCAUCAAUAUUGCUGAUGUGGUUAUGGUCUAGAUAGAGCCAGGUGAGUUGAUUAAGACCUUUAAACUGAUUGUAUUUUAGUUUCUGGAGGCUGUUGUAUCGGAGGGACAAACCUAAACAACCAGCUGAUAUACUUGAGGGUAUCUCCUGUAAUUUCUGGGACUCGCAAUAUACCAUUUUGCCUUCGCACCUACAGCCCUUUGGGCAUCCUCGUUCAGCAGAAGAAAGCAUUGUCAGUAAUACAGUAGGGGCUAUUACCAGGGCUACAGCUGAUCCGCUCAGUAGCCUAAAUACAUUGAAACCUGGAAAUAAAAAUAACUUAGAAAAGUUAUCCCCCCAAAUAAACAAUCCAGAUCUAUUUCAAUCAUGCUCAGAAUUGCUACUUAAAUGCAUAAGAAACCCCCAGCAGCAUAAGUACUUUGUAGCUUACCCCCACUUUAUUUUAAUAAAGGAAAAUGUAAUAAAGAAAAAAAAAUCAUGCACAUAAGCUAGCCACAGUCAAAUACAAUCUCUUGGAAAUUUAACUCUGGUCACAUCUUGCAGGGAGGCAAACCUAUAGAGCAAUUAAAACAGAAUCAGUGCAGGCACUGCUGUAGGCUAACUAUAAAUAAAUAAAAUGGAAAACCUACCCAUCCUUUGUGUUUUCAAAGGUCGUCGUUAGGUCUUUUGCUUUUGCUUAGGGUGCCACAAGCAUGACAGCCCCUGUCAGCUGCUCUGUGGUGAGUCAGGGCUUGCUGACACCCAGGAAGAAAAAUUGGACCCCUUGGGAGAUGGACCGAUUUUGGAACAUUAUUCUUUGCCAGCCAUGCAGAACAUCCCAAGAAUAAAUAAAUCCCAACACAGCAUUUGCAGCAGAAUGUCAAGUUCUUCCUAGGUAAUAGGAUCUUCAUGGAUGGUGCGUUUUUGCAUCUUUACAUUUAGAAACGAGCUGCUUUAAAAUCUCCCCGUGCAAAGCAUGAUAGAUUCCUCCAAGUGAUGCUCAGCUGUCUGAAUUCACCCGUCUGUAUUCCAUUGGGCAGCAGUUCUCAUAGUUAGCACUCCCGAUCCGGCUAAGGAAACUGCGUUGGAGCACAGAAGCCAGGAUGACCCUGUUCAAUGAACAAGCACUGUUCACUUCUGCGUACUGUCAUUCUGAAAGCUCCUCCGACUGUU